rnacentral:lncRNA from 1 species
AUGGACCAGCCACAGGAGACUUCCCUUUUACAACAGAACCAACCACAGGAGAGUUCCCUUUUACAAGGGAGCCAACCACAGGAGACUUCCAGACCAAUUACCAAGGGAUGUUCUGAGAAUCCUACUGGACAAGAUUCUUGGAACUGUGGCCUCUAUCUUGCCAUCACAAGGGGAGAUAUGGCUGAUCUCCUGAGGAAGCCAGAGCAGAAAGAUGAGAGAGUCUGCAUCUCUGCCGACCCUCAGCUGCUGCCCCCAUGUUGGAGCCACCUACCUGUGAGUUUUCUGUUACAGAAAUAAUUAAAUAAUUAAAUUGCUUAAGCCGCUCAUCUGCAGUUAUUGCAUAAUUUGCAGCUGAAAUACACACAAAUAGCUUUGAAAUUUACCCCAGACAACCCCAAAUUUGUUGUUAGCAAAUAUCAGAGACUUCCCAUCACUCCAGUCUAUUAUUUAACAUAGUUUUCUUCAGGCCUACGAUGUUGUCACAGCUGGCUUUUAUUGACUGCAGCGGCUGAUACACUAGAGAACAGUACUCACUGGCAUGAGGAGUCUGCCACUACUUUUGUUUAUUAAUCCAUGUUCCAGUCAGUCCUCUCGGCUUUCUUGUUGUGUUCCCUGAGUCCUCAGAGGAACCGGGAGUUGUGGAGCUACAACAUCUUCACCUGUGUUUUGAGACUUGUCCUGGGAAUAAUUUACCAGAGCAAGAGAGAGAAUAAUGCAGUCCCCACAAAACAGUUCACGUGUCCAGCCUUGGAACCUGUGUGUGUUUUACUUUACAUGGCAAAACUGACUUUACAGAUGUGAUUUAUGUAAGGUCCUGAGAUGGGGAGAUUAUCCUGGAGUAUCUGAGUGGACCUCCAUAUCGUCACAAGAAUCCGUAAGGGUGGAAGGGGGGGGAAUACAAGAAGAGCAUGAGAUGGACACGUGACUAUGGAAGAAUGAGCAGAAAUGAAGGAAGGGGGCAUGAGCCCAGGAAUGCAGGAAGCCUCCGUAAAGGGGAAGAGGCAAGGAAUGGGAUUCACCCUGAGAGCUUCCAGAAAAGAACACAGCUCUUCCAACAUAGUGAUUUUAGCCCAGUGAGACUUGUUUCAGAUAUCUGACCUUCAGAACUGUAAGAUCAUAAAUUUGUGAUUCAUUUGCGGUGAUUUGCUGCAGUAGCCAUAGGAAACUAAUACAAUGCGUUGGCAUUAUUGACUGUGAGACUGAACACCUCUGGUUCAGGCACGUGGUUGGGUGGUGCCUGACUGAGAGAGAAAAUGAUGAACUAGAAACUCAAGCCAAAGCCAGAGGGGCAUCUGGGCUUAGCAGUGGAGUAGAUGUAGUCAGGGAGUGUCAGGGAGUUCAUAGUUCUCAAGGGAAAAGGAAACCCCCCAUGAGAUGUAAGGUGCA